UACGUAGGCAGCAAGCGUUGUUCGGAGUUACUGGGCGUAAAGGGUGUGUAGGCGGUUCUUUAAGUUUGGUGUGAAAUCUCCCGGCUCAACUGGGAGGGUGCGCCGAAUACUGAGGGACUAGAGUACGGGAGAGGAAAGUGGAAUUCCUGGUGUAGCGGUGAAAUGCGUAGAUAUCAGGAGGAACACCGGUGGUGGAGACGGCUUUCUGGACCGUAACUGACGCUGAGACACGAAAGCGUGGGUAGCAAACAGG
rnacentral:rRNA from 1 species